GGAAGUAAAAGUCGCAACAAGGUUUCCGUAGGUGAACCUGCGGAAGGAUCAUUAUUGAAACUUCAUCCGGGGCGCCGCGGCCCUCAGCACCGGUGGAAACGCCGUGCUGCGGGGGCCGCGCGUGCACUCGUCCAAACCAAACCCCUGUGAACCUUACGGGAUGGCCCGGGUUAGCGCCCGGUGCCGUUCCGCUUUAUACAAACACUUAUCAAAGAAUGAACUGAAGGCGGUCUGACCGCUGGAUAACAAACUGAAACAACUUUCAACAACGGAUCUCUUGGCUCUC
rnacentral:misc_RNA from 1 species